UACAGAGGGUGCAAGCGUUAAUCGGAAUUACUGGGCGUAAAGCGCACGUAGGCGGCUUGGUAAGUUGGAUGUGAAAUCCCCGGGCUUAACUUGGGAAUUGCAUUCAAGACUGCCUUGCUAGAGUGUGGGAGAGGAAAGCGGAAUUCCAGGUGUAGCGGUGAAAUGCGUAGAUAUCUGGAGGAACAUCAGUGGCGAAGGCGGCUUUCUGGCCCAACACUGACGCUGAGGUGCGAAAGCGUGGGGAGCAAACAGG
rnacentral:rRNA from 1 species